rnacentral:rRNA from 1 species
UACGUAGGGUGCGAGCGUUGUCCGGAUUUAUUGGGCGUAAAGAGCUCGUAGGCGGUUUGUCGCGUCGGCCGUGAAAUCUCCACGCUUAACGUGGAGCGUGCGGUCGAUACGGGCAGACUUGAGUUCGGUAGGGGAGACUGGAAUUCCUGGUGUAGCGGUGAAAUGCGCAGAUAUCAGGAGGAACACCGGUGGCGAAGGCGGGUCUCUGGGCCGAUACUGACGCUGAGGAGCGAAAGCGUGGGUAGCGAACAGG